UACGUAGGGUGCGAGCGUUAAUCGGAAUUACUGGGCGUAAAGCGUGCGCAGGCGGUUUUGUAAGCCAGGUGUGAAAUCCCCGGGCUUAACCUGGGAAUGGCAUUUGGGACUGCAAGGCUAGAGUGUGGCAGAGGAGACUGGAAUUCCUGGUGUAGCAGUGAAAUGCGUAGAUAUCAGGAGGAAUACCGAUGGCGAAGGCAGGUCUCUGGGCUAACACUGACGCUCAUGCACGAAAGCGUGGGGAGCAAACAGG
rnacentral:rRNA from 1 species